rnacentral:rRNA from 1 species
GACGAACGCUGGCGGCGUGCUUAACACAUGCAAGUCGAACGGAAAGGCCCUGCUUGCAGGGUACUCGAGUGGCGAACGGGUGAGUAACACGUGGGUGAUCUGCCCUGCACUUCGGGAUAAGCCUGGGAAACUGGGUCUAAUACCGGAUAGGAGCCAUUUUGAGUGUGAUGGUUGGAAAGUUUUUUCGGUGUAGGAUGAGCUCGCGGCCUAUCAGCGUGUUGGUGGGGUAAUGGCCUACCAAGGCGGCGACGGGUAGCCGGCCUGAGAGGGUGGACGGCCACAUUGGGACUGAGAUACGGCCCAGACUCCUACGGGUGGCAGCAGUGGGGAAUAUUGCACCAUGGGCGCAAGCCUGAUGCAGCGACGCCGCGUGGGGGAUGACGGCCUUCGGGUUGUAAACUCCUUUCGCUAGGGACGAAGCUUUUUGUGACGGUACCUAGAGAAGAAGCACCGGCUAACUACGUG